rnacentral:rRNA from 1 species
CAAUAGCGUAUAUUAAAGUUGUUGCAGUUAAAAAGCUCGUAGUUGGAUUUCGGGUGUGAACGACCGGUCCGUCUUUGAUGUGUACUGGUUGGUUGCGCCUUAUUGUCGAGGACGUGGUUCUAGCUUUCAUUAGCCGGGACACGGAGUCGGCAGCGUUACUUUGAGAAAAUUAGAGUGUUCAAAGCAGGCUAUCGCUCUGAAUACUACAGCAUGGAAUAACACGAUAGGACUCCGAGCCUAUUCUGUUGGUCUUCGGGACCGGAGUAAUGAUUAAGAGGGACAGUUGGGGGCAUUCGUAUUCCGAUGUCAGAGGUGAAAUUCUUGGAUUAUCGGAAGACGAACAUCUGCGAAAGCAUUUGCCAAGGAUGUUUUCAUUAA